rnacentral:lncRNA from 1 species
AUGAGGGAGGGAGCACUGUGGGUACCACAUCAUUUGUUUCCCUUGACUCUGGCGUCACAAACACAGCUUCUUGGAAUCUCAUGCCUGUUACUGGCUGUGUGAUCUGGAGCAACUGGCUUCACCUCUCUGAGCCUUUAUUUCCCACAUCUGCAAAGUGGUGCACAGUAAUACCCACGUUCCUGGCUCUGUGUAAGGAGCCAUGAGAGUGUAUUUAAAGGGCCCAGCACCCAGCUGCUCUCAGUAGAUGCUCAAGAGACAGUAACAACCCUAUCGUUAUAUGAGGUUCAAUGCAACUCAUCUGAUUCCCCUUCCAGUGGCUGGAGAACAUCCCACCUUCUGAGCCUUGGGGAGAAGCAGAGUGUGCCCUUUCCCUGCCCACUGGAGAAGCUGAAACAACAAAAACUCCCUUCCCUGGCCUCCCUGCAGGAGACUCCAGGAAGACUCCUGAAUGCCACACACUCCUAAACCUGAGAGACCUUCAUGCAGAUUGGGGAGCAGCUUUAGGACUGCUGGGUGGAGCCACAAUGAGACAGAUAAGCUCCAGGAAAAUAAGAAGUGCCGAAACAAUGGAGCCACCCAACAAAAAGGGCUGCCACUGCAAGUGGUGAGCUUCCUGUUACUGGAGGUGAGAAAGUGGAGUUCGAAGAUGUCAUCAGCCCAGGUCACACAGAUGGUGGAGACCAGUGUGGAGCCCGGGAGUGGGCUGAGCAGAGCAUCUGGACUUUGAGCUUCCAUCAGACCCUGAGAUAGUCACCUGUCCUGGCUGCCUGGUGACCCUGGUGUGCUAACGUGGCACUUAUCUUGCUCUAUGGAGGCCCCUGGGCCCCCUAAACACCAGGUGGGUGCCUUCAGCCAGCCCCAUACUGACCUGUGAAGCCCAGGUAUUGCUGGCCAACCCACCCCACUCACAGACAGAAGCAGUUCUCCAUCUUUUGGCUUUAGCAGAUCUGCUUCAUUUCUCCUCCCCACAAAGCCUGGACUUUGUUCUGGGGGUAUCCCUGUUUGCAGUGAAGCUUUUUCACUCAGUGCUCAAUCUGAGCCCAACUCCACCCCACAUCUCUGAUUCAUAGACUUUUGUGACUGCCUUGACCAGUAGAGUAUGGCAGAAGAUGCUCUGUAACUUCCCAGGCUAGAUCUAGAAAAUGCCACGCAUUUCUGCCUUGCUCUCCUGCGACAUCCACUCUUAGAACCCAGUUGCUGUGCUAAAAAGAACUCACAGACCACGUGGAGUGGAGCAGAUGGGUCAGUGUCCCAGGUGGCAGCCCGUGUCGGCCUCAGACCUGCACGUGAGGAUGCCCACCAGAGGGUUCCUGCCACCACCGUCAAGUCACCCCAGCCUUAAUCUUCCAGCCGGCGCCUCAGGCAUUAUGGGCAGAGGUAAACUGUCUCCAUGAUGCCCUUUCCAAAUUUCUGACCCACAGAAUCCAUGGCUAUAAUAAAAUGGCUGUCUUAUGUGCUCAA